GACGAACGCUGGCGGCGUGCUUAACACAUGCAAGUCGAACGGAAAGGCCCUGCUUUUGUGGGGUGCUCGAGUGGCGAACGGGUGAGUAACACGUGAGUAACCUGCCCUUGACUUUGGGAUAACUUCAGGAAACUGGGGCUAAUACCGGAUAGGAGCUCCUGCUGCAUGGUGGGGGUUGGAAAGUUUCGGCGGUUGGGGAUGGACUCGCGGCUUAUCAGCUUGUUGGUGGGGUAGUGGCUUACCAAGGCUUUGACGGGUAGCCGGCCUGAGAGGGUGACCGGCGACAUUGGGACUGAGAUACGGACCAGACUCCUACGGGAGGCAGCAGUGGGGAAUAUUGCACAAUGGGCGGAAGCCUGAUGCAGCAACGCCGCGUGCGGGAUGACGGCCUUCGGGUUGUAAACCGCUUUCGCCUGUGACGAGGCGUGAGUGACGGUAAUGGGUAAAGAAGCACCGGCUAACUACGUG
rnacentral:rRNA from 1 species